rnacentral:rRNA from 1 species
GGCGAACGCUGGCGGCGUGCUUAACACAUGCAAGUCGAACGGUAAGGCUCCAGCUUGCUGGGGUACACGAGUGGCGAACGGGUGAGUAACACGUGGGUGACCUGCCCUGCACUUCGGGAUAAGCCUGGGAAACUGGGUCUAAUACCGGAUAGGACCGCACCGUGAGGGUGUGGUGGAAAGUUUUUUCGGUGUGGGAUGGGCCCGCGGCCUAUCAGCUUGUUGGUGGGGUAAUGGCCUACCAAGGCGGCGACGGGUAGCCGGCCUGAGAGGGUGGACGGCCACAUUGGGACUGAGACACGGCCCAGACUCCUACGGGAGGCAGCAGUGGGGAAUAUUGCACAAUGGGCGGAAGCCUGAUGCAGCGACGCCGCGUGGGGGAUGACGGCCUUCGGGUUGUAAACUCCUUUCACCAUCGACGAAGGGUUUCUGACGGUAGAUGGAGAAGAAGCACCGGCUAACUACGUGCCAGCAGCCGCGGUAAUACGUAGGGUGCGAGCGUUGUCCGGAAUUACUGGGCGUAAAGAGCUCGUAGGUGGUUUGUCGCGUCGUCUGUGAAAUUCCGGGGCUUAACUCCGGGCGUGCAGGCGAUACGGGCAUAACUUGAGUACUGUAGGGGAGACUGGAAUUCCUGGUGUAGCGGUGAAAUGCGCAGAUAUCAGGAGGAACACCGGUGGCGAAGGCGGGUCUCUGGGCAGUAACUGACGCUGAGGAGCGAAAGCAUGGGGAGCGAACAGGAUUAGAUACCCUGGUAGUCCAUGCCGUAAACGGUGGGCGCUAGGUGUGGGUUUCCUUCCACGGGAUCCGUGCCGUAGCUAACGCAUUAAGCGCCCCGCCUGGGGAGUACGGCCGCAAGGCUAAAACUCAAAGGAAUUGACGGGGGCCCGCACAAGCGGCGGAGCAUGUGGAUUAAUUCGACGCAGCGCGAAGAACCUUACCUGGGCUUGACAUAUACAGGAUCGCGCCAGAGAUGGUGUUUCCCUUGUGGCUUGUAUACAGGUGGUGCAUGGUUGUCGUCAGCUCGUGUCGUGAGAUGUUGGGUUAAGUCCCGCAACGAGCGCAACCCUUGUCUUAUGUUGCCAGCACGUUGUGGUGGGGACUCGUAAGAAACUGCCGGGGUUAACUCGGAGGAAGGUGGGGAUGACGUCAAAUCAUCAUGCCCCUUAUGUCCAGGGCUUCACACAUGCUACAAUGGUCGGUACAGUGGGUUGCCAGUCCGUGAGGGCGAGCUAAUCCCGCAAAGCCGGUCUCAGUUCGGAUCGGGGUCUGCAACUCGACCCCGUGAAGUCGGAGUCGCUAGUAAUCGCAGAUCAGCAACGCUGCGGUGAAUACGUUCCCGGGCCU